rnacentral:rRNA from 1 species
GCCGGCUCUGUAAGUUUUCGGUUAAAUCUGUACGCUUAACGUACAGGCUGCCGGGAAUACUGCAAAGCUAGGGAGUGGGAGAGGUAGACGGUACUCGGUAGGAAGUGGUAAAAUGCUUUGAUCUAUCGAUGACCACCUGUGGCGAAGGCGGUCUACCAGAACACGUCCGACGGUGAGGGAUGAAAGCUGGGGGAGCAAACCGGAUUAGAUACCCGGGUAGUCCCAGCUGUAAACUAUGCAAACUCAGUGAUGCAUUGGCUUGUGGCCAAUGCAGUGCUGCAGGGAAGCCGUUAAGUUUGCCGCCUGGGAAGUACGUACGCAAGUAUGAAACUUAAAGGAAUUGGCGGGGGAGCAC